rnacentral:misc_RNA from 1 species
CUUCCUUGAAGUGAUCAUGAUUGUUGGUUGGUUUCAUUAAUAAGGAAUCAAAAAACAAAUCUGGUGAUCACUUGAGAAAUAAUUAAUUUCUGCAUUAGAGGAAACUAAACUGCAUUAGGCAUCAUAUAUCAUUUAUGUGUUAACUCAAUGAAGAAUUGGGGGGAAAUAUGUUACUUAAAAAUAAUAGGAGUGUUAUAGUGGUGUAAACACAAGAACUCAUAAGACAUAUGAGACUUCUAAGCAUAUGCUAGUCAGAAUUUAACAUCGUUAUUUCCUGAUAUGGAUGUGAUCUGGAGAGUUAAUCGUGUUGCAUGUGCUGCCUUGAUAGUGCUUCCUUCAUUUCUUCUGAGUAAUAGGCCGUUUGUCUGUGCUUAGUUUUCUGAGGGUGAGGGCUGUAAACUGAGCUUUUAGUUAGACCUUCCAUCUGAUUUCCAGCAGAACCUGAUUAUUUUUCAAGUUCACUGAUCUUUUUGAACAUUCACCUAAUUCCUUGUCACAUGGAAUCACCUUGUAAAGCAGCCAUCAAAUGACUGGGACCUAGUUUCAUUUUUCUUCCUUCUGAAACAGUUGGUGACACCCUCAACAUUUCUGUAGGAAUUUUUUCUGUAGAUUAAUAGUAUUCUGGACACAACUGUUAGGAGAUACAAUGGUAAAUGGUAAUAGUUUCCAUUCUAUAUGGUCCCUGUUGACAUGAGCCAUGCUAUGUGCUAUAAAGAUAAAAUUAGCACAUCUGCAUUGUGUUGAAUCAUAUGUGUCAUAUAUUACAACAAAGUAAAGGCCAAAUUAGCUAUGAAUUAUCAUCUGACGUCCAAUUAGUUUUAAAAACUUUGACGUUGCCAAUUGGUCCACCACCAUAAUGACCCGUCAUGUCUCAUUUCACCAGCAUAUAGAGGACUGGUUUGACCAAAUUAAAAUUUUAGCCAUAUUUAGUGGACUAAUUCAUAAGCCAAUUUGUCUGUCAUUCCUGUGUUUCAACAGCACUUACAGUUGUAAUAAUAUAUUCUACAAUGAUAUGAGUAAUGAACAGUGAAAGAAAUUUGAAGUUCAUAUCCAUGAAUUAUUCCCUCAUUAGGCACAAGAUAUUUUGUUGUUGAUUUUAGCACUUCUUUACACUACAUUAGCACUUGUUUGGAGCUUUCCUCCCUUCUCCUUCUAAUAAAUUGUAAUAACUGUUUGGACAUCAGACAAAUGUGGCACUUGAGGUGCUA